GCUUGCGUCGUCUAGCGGUUAGGAUGCGACCUUGACACGGUUGAGAUCAUGGGUUCAAAUCCCAUCGCGAGUA
rnacentral:tRNA from 1 species